AUGAACGCUGGCGGCGUGCCUAAUACAUGCAAGUCGAGCGAACAGACGAGGAGCUUGCUCCUCUGACGUUAGCGGCGGACGGGUGAGUAACACGUGGAUAACCUACCUAUAAGACUGGGAUAACUUCGGGAAACCGGAGCUAAUACCGGAUAAUAUAUUGAACCGCAUGGUUCAAUAGUGAAAGACGGUUUUGCUGUCACUUAUAGAUGGAUCCGCGCCGCAUUAGCUAGUUGGUAAGGUAACGGCUUACCAAGGCAACGAUGCGUAGCCGACCUGAGAGGGUGAUCGGCCACACUGGAACUGAGACACGGUCCAGACUCCUACGGGAGGCAGCAGUAGGGAAUCUUCCGCAAUGGGCGAAAGCUUGACGGAGCAACGCCGCGUGAGUGAUGAAGGUCUUCGGAUCGUAAAACUCUGUUAUUAGGGAAGAACAAAUGUGUAAGUAACUAUGCACGUCUUGACGGUACCUAAUCAUAAAGCCACGGCUAACUACGCG
rnacentral:rRNA from 1 species